CAGCCGUAAACUAUGCGCGUUAGGUGUACUGGUGACCACGAGUCACCGGGUGCCGAAGGGAAACCGUGAAACGUGCCGCCUGGGAAGUACGGUCGCAAGGCUGAAACUUAAAGGAAUUUGCGGGGGAGCACCACAACGGGUGGAGCCUGCGGUUUAAUUGGACUCAACGCCGGAAAUCUCACCGGAUAGGACAGACAUAUGAUAGUCGGGCUGAAGACUCUACUUGAUGAUCUGAGAGGAGGUGCAUGGCGUCAGUGACU
rnacentral:rRNA from 1 species